AUACGGAGGGGGCUAGCGUUGUUCGGAAUUACUGGGCGUAAAGCGCGCGUAGGCGGACCAGUCAGUCAGGGGUGAAAUCCCGGGGCUCAACCCCGGAACUGCCUUUGAUACUGCUGGUCUUGAGUUCGAGAGAGGUGAGUGGAAUUCCGAGUGUAGAGGUGAAAUUCGUAGAUAUUCGGAGGAGCACCAGUGGCGAAGGCGGCUCACUGGCUCGAUACUGACGCUGAGGUGCGAAAGCGUGGGGAGCAAACAGGAUUAGAAACCCCAGUAGUCC
rnacentral:rRNA from 1 species